rfam:Leucoagaricus sp. SymC.cos contig5237, whole genome shotgun sequence.
GGCUACUUGGCGCAAUGGUAGCGCGUUUGGCUUCGAUCGCCGAAAUUGGUACCAAAAGGUUGCAGGUUCGAGUCCUGCAGUGGUCA